AAAAGUUCUAAAGAAAUUCGCUCAAGUCAUCUAUCUACCUUUCAUCAAAUAGGGGUUGAAAAACUUGAAAUGCCUCCUUAGCAAGUCUAGCCUGUCUAGUGUUCGCAUACCCAGAAAACCAUGGUGAUUCAUGAAACUACAUUUCUUUUAAGCAUUUCAUCAAACACUUUUCCGGCUUUUUCGACAAAAUGCAAUGUAGAAUACAUAUUGAGCAAAGAACUACACACAAUGUAGAGUGCAUAUUGAGCAAAAAAAGCUGCUCACAAAAAUAUCCCACAAAUGAGCUGUUUUUAUGACAAUCACACAAGAUUUUAUCCCAAUUAAUGAAUCCUCUAGAAAAAACAAUGCAACAAUUAGGAAAGGGCAAUAAAGGAAACUCGAGAACUAUGGCUAGAAGGAAAAUACCAGUGGUCGACGACAAAAGACACAAACAUGUUUUUGUUGGAGAUGGGUUAGGGGCGGCGGAUGAGAUGUUUGAGGCGGCCAAUGAGGAGGAUGCCCAGAAGUGCUCCUAAAAAUAGGUUGAGGAGAAAACGGUUGGCGGUGGCGGCGAUAGUCGAGAGAGGGUAGAGGAGGGGGUAAAGGAUUAGAGGGCAGAAAAGGUGACCGUCCCCUGAGAAUUCGAGGAGUUUGAGGAGACUGUAAGGAUUGUUGGGUGGAGGGAAAGGGCAGUGUUAAAUUUAAUGAGGUAGCGGAGGAUGAUAGUAGAAUUGUUGGGAACGUUGAGCUCAUUUUUUGCGGGUUUGGAUGGGUGGAUUCGGCGGGCUCGCCACCCCACUCUCACUUCUCCGUCGGCCGUCACUCUAAGGAGUCAUCUACCAGUCGCUUCUCUGGCUCCCUCAAGCCUGGAUCGAGGAAGAUCAACCCAAACGACGGGGGAUCGGGUGGGAAUAGGCACCCUAGCCAUAAGGGACAAAAACUGUGGAAAGAGUGUGACGUGAUUGAGGAGAAAGGAUUGCUGGAAGACCUAGAGUCACGAAAGCCCCUUCC
rnacentral:lncRNA from 1 species